GACGAACGCUGGCGGCGUGCUUAACACAUGCAAGUCGAACGGAAAGGCCUGCUUUCCCUUGUGGAUUGCGGGUACUCGAGUGGCGAACGGGUGAGUAACACGUGAGUGAUCUGCCCCCAACUUGGGUAUAAGCCUGGGAAACUGGGUCUAAUUCCCGAUAGGACUGCAGGGUGGUGCCUGUGGUGGAAAACGAUUUUCUAGUGGUUGGGGAUGAGCUCGCGGCCUAUCAGCUUGUUGGUGGGGUAAUGGCCUACCAAGGCGGCGACGGGUAGCCGGCCUGAGAGGGGGGACGGCCACAUUGGGACUGGGAUACGGCCCAGACUCCUACGGGAGGCAGCAGUGGGGAAUAUUGCACAAUGGGCGGAAGCCUGAUGCAGCGACGCCGCGUGGGGGAUGACGGCCUUCGGGUUGUAAACUCCUUUCGACCGCGAGGAAGCCACCUGGUUGGAAGGGUGGUGACGGUAGUGGUAGAAGAAGCACCGGCUAACUACGUG
rnacentral:rRNA from 1 species